CCUACCUCGAGCUACUCCUUCCUAGAUCUGUUCCCAGAUUCUGACUCUUCUUGUCUCUGUGUCCACAGCUGCCCUGGUCCUGAAUUAUCAGGUCAACUACCAAUCCUCGAGACGGAACCCUCGCCACCUGGAGUUUUAUCUGUCCGUCCUCCACCGUCACCACCGACCUCAGCCCUCUACCCACUGACCAGCCUCUAGAGCCUCAAGGUCCUCUCCGGGUCCAACCCACCUCCCCUGAACAGUUGCCCUGAUACCUGCCAGACGAACCAAGGAUUCCAUUUCUCACUGUUUAUAUUCAUUGUAAAUAAAUCACAUUAUUGUCUUCCCUG